AAGUUUGUUUUGGUGCUUCUAGAAUUUGUCUAACAGGUUUUCCAGUUUUUACUGGAAAGCCUCC
ensembl:snRNA U7 U7 small nuclear RNA